CCUACGGGAGGCAGCAGUGGGGAAUUUUGGACAAUGGGCGAAAGCCUGAUCCAGCCAUUCCGCGUGAGUGAAGAAGGCCUUCGGGUUGUAAAGCUCUUUCGCAAGGGAAGAAAACUUAGAUACUAAUAUUAUCUGAGGUUGACGGUACCUUGAUAAGAAGCACCGGCUAACUACGUGCCAGCAGCCGCGGUAAUACGUAGGGUGCGAGCGUUAAUCGGAAUUACUGGGCGUAAAGCGUGCGCAGGCGGUUUUGUAAGUCAGAUGUGAAAUCCCCGAGCUCAACUUGGGAACUGCGUUUGAAACUACAAGACUAGAAUAUGUCAGAGGGGGGUAGAAUUCCACGUGUAGCAGUGAAAUGCGUAGAGAUGUGGAGGAAUACCAAUGGCGAAGGCAGCCCCCUGGGAUAAUAUUGACGCUCAUGCACGAAAGCGUGGGGAGCAAAACAGGAUUAGAUACCCUGGUAGUCCACGCCCUAAAACGAUGUCUACUAGUUGUUGGUGGAGUAAAAAUCCAAUGAGUAACGCAGCUAACGCGUGAAGUAGAACCGCCUGGGGAGUACGGUCGCAAAGAUUAAAAACUUAAAAGGAAUUAGACGG
rnacentral:rRNA from 1 species